UGUAUAAACUAUAAAGUACUGUG
rnacentral:snRNA from 1 species